GACGAACGCUGGCGGCGUGCUUAACACAUGCAAGUCGAACGGAAAGGCCCUGCUUUUGUGGGGUGCUCGAGUGGCGAAAGGGUGAGUAACACGUGAGUAACCUGCCCUUGACUUUGGGAUAACUUCAGGAAACUGGGGCUAAUACCGGAUAGGAGCUCCUGCUGCAUGGUGGGGGUUGGAAAGUUUCGGCGGUUGGGGAUGGACUCGCGGCUUAUCAGCUUGUUGGUGGGGUAGUGGCUUACCAAGGCUUUGACGGGUAGCCGGCCUGUGAGGGUGACCGGCCGCAUUGCGCCUGAGGUACGGCCCCGACUCCUACGGGUGGCAGCAGUUGGGACUAUUGCUCAGUGGGCGGAAGCCUGCUGCAGCAUCGCCGCGUGCGUGAUGGUGGCCUUCGGGUUGUACACCGCUUUCGCCUGUGACGAAGCUUGUGUGACUGUAGUGGGUAAAGAAGCACCGGCUACCUUCGU
rnacentral:rRNA from 1 species